rfam:Capsicum annuum cultivar Zunla-1 chromosome 9, whole genome shotgun sequence
UAUUGGUUUGGACAUUGCGUUAGUUUUCCAUUGAAUCUUUCCCACACUUCAUAUAAGAGUUCUCCAUUCAAUUGCCUAAAGUUAGUGAUCUCAUUCCUCAAUUA